AAUAUUAGUCAAUCCACAAAGAAAUCUCAAACGAGUAUACCAUUGACUUUGCGAGAGUAUAAAAUGUUCGGUUACAUCCGAACUUAGCCCUUCCUUACUUGUUCUCAAUUAAAUCCUACGCCCAAUGUAUUAAAGAAGCAAAAAGUUCUCUUUUUUUAAAAAAUAAUUUUCGGCCAAAACUCCUGGAUUUUGUUUAAGUGCUCCUUCGCGAAAACCUUAUGCAUUUACCUAUUGCUACCGAUAAGUAUGAGUUCUUGUGUACGACUUGACCAUAGAACCCUGUUUUUUUGUUUGUUUUAAUUUUGCGAUUGGUGUCAGUGCAGAGAGAUUUCUUAAAAUAUUUCCUAACAUUUUGAUCGAUUUGGAUACAGUAAAUCGAAAGUUUUAUUUUUGGCCGCUUUGGACGCGAUGAGAUACAAAAACGCCGGACGGAAAGAAUGUGUUCUUGCAACAAUUCGACCGAUUUCAGAGUAUAUUUUUCCUUUUUCGAAACAUCUUACCUUACCCCUUCCCGAGGGGCUCAUAUCUCUUUUAGGCGAGAUUCGAUAUUCUAAAUUUAAUAAAGUGAAUAGAACAAAACUCUUUAAAAUUGCUACUUUUACGAAAACAAGUAACACUAUAACUUUCUUACAUUUAGUUAUUACGUAAGUAAUUCCCAUUGAAGUACUUGUGCGCAGGCUUUUUCUUCGCUGCCAAAUUAUUAUUUUCUAUAAAUUUGUCUAUGAAACUAUGGUGUCAGAUUUUCAUUGCCUCAAAUGCUAUGGGAUUAUGCAAUAGACUAGUGAUAAAGCACUUAAUACGAUUAUGGUCUAAAAUAGUACAAAGAAGUUAUUUUUUAACAAAAGGAUAUAGAAGAACUUCCUUUAUCCGUACAUACCCAGCCUACAUUUCUAUUAUAUACUUUUCAUAUAUUAACACAUUCGUAAAUGGUUUCUACAUAUUUAUUUAGUAAUUAUUAGGAGACAUGGGAGAGAAACGAAAACGCGACAGAUUCGGAGUAAUGUUAAAGUUAAUUCUCUCAUUAUUCUCUCUAAAUUGCCAAAGUUUACAUGCUUACGCAGUAGACUUGACGGACACAGUAUCCCAACGAGCGAAUAUUUUAUUAUUGUCGGAAACAUAGAUAAACGAUAAAGAAGGUGCUGAUGUGCCGAGCUUCGAUUGUGUCGUCCAUUUCAAACGUCCCAAUGUAACAGCUGUUGGGGUAGCUAUCUACCAUAACUCCACAGACAGAAUAAAUAUUGUCGCUCCACAUAUGGAUAUGAAUUUAGAACAAAUUAAUUGGUUAUCUGUGAAUGCUGCUGCAGUUGGAGAGAUAUUUGUGCGGCCGAAUGUGCCCUAUAGUGCAGCAGAAUUAGGAGAAGAUUUGCACACUAUGCCAAUGAUUUUAAGCGGUGAUUUUAAUCUCAAUUUUGCCUUGGAAGAAGCUCAACCACUUGUACAAUUUUUGGAAAGUAAAUUUAAAUUAAAAAUUUAUAAUAAUCCCAAAAACUCAACAAACAGAUCAGACACACGACAAUAGAUGCAAUUUUCUUAAGAUAUUUAAAUAAUUUACUAUCACGAGUUUUCUUUUCAUAUUUUUCAUACCACAAAUCAAUUAUAUUUUUUCUUGAACAUGAAAGUAUGGAAGUGAAUGAAUAUAUUUUUUUUACUAAUGGAGGCGAAACAUCAACUAUCAUUUUGCAAUAACCUAACACCCUUGAAAAUUCCAAAUUAAUGAAUAGUGACUUCUGCUAUCGGGGAAAUAUUUUUAUCUCAUAAAACUCGCUGGCUAGUUUCAUUUUUUCAUUUCAAGUGCCCAUUGAGAUCCAUGAUGUUUUACUUCUAUCGCCUAGCUUUCUAGGCUGUUUGGUUUUUACUUUAACUUAUUUUUAUUCGUUUGCAAAAUUUGUAAAUAUGGUAAAGUUUAUUAAUUUUUUUUGCAUGUAACUCUUUGUUAUUGUGUGAAUUAGUCGUAUUUAAGAAAAACUUUAGUUAUGAUUUAAAGCUAUUUGUGCACAAUUUAAUAUAUAAUAAAUGUAUAGAAAUUAUUUAGUGAAGUGUUGGUGGAUAUAAAAGGGAAAAAUAUGAAUGUAAAAUUCAUUAUAAACCGAAAAAUUAGAUACUUUAAAUUCUUGAAUUUUUUGGGAAAAUUUAGUACAUCGUAAAAAACAUCGCCGGCAGCUGUAUACUAAUAUUGUGACGAACACGGAUGCCAGAACACAAUAGAAUCGACGAUUAAUUGCCAGAAUCAACCAGGCAGCGAAAUUCAUAGUUGCCAGCAUGUUGUAGUGGCGAAGUUUGGUUAACGAUCUAAUAUAUGUUAAAGGGCUGCCGGAUUGUGCAGCAGACACAGUUUUAGUUAGAGUACUGCCGUGUGAAAGCAAUGAAGAUACAAGUAAGAAGUUUUAAGCUCGGAUUAUGAGUAAUAAAGGGUUAAGUUGUUGGAAUCAGAAAUUUUAUUCAACAAUCUAGAUCGAACGCAAGAGAGAGUUUGUGGUAGACGAUUUAUCGAGAAAUCCGUUACAAUUGCUAUUUGAAGUGGGAUUGUUAAAUAAAUUCCUAGAGAAAUAAUUGUUUAACGAACAGAUAAUUCUUCAACUGAAAAAGGAGCUGGACGUGGUUUGGCCACAACUGGAGUGGGGUUCGAAUUAAAGCCACAGUGACGAGGAGCAACAGAAGCAGAAAACAUGAAUUUAGAGGAUUAUGUCUUUUAGAGGAAUAUAUAACGAAUUUAGAGGAAAAUAUAACGAAAAAAGAAGAAAAGGAAGAGACUUAAUGUUUAUCUGGGGUUAUGGACCCGUUUUUGGCUGCCGUUUGGGGAGCGUUUGUCAACGCAGUUGUCGACCUAAAUGCAGCAGAUGUCAACUUAAAUAUCGACGCAGGUGAAUUCGGAAAUGGCAGAGCAUUUCAGAACAUUUUGAAACUCGUAAGUCAAUACAGGAAGAGCAAGAAGCACAGGUGUUCUCAAAAUUGAAGGAGCAGGAUAAAAUUAAGGCUAAAGUGGAAUGCCAGAAGUAUAUCCAACUCCUAAUCAAGAGGCUUAACCAAUAGCGGACGUAUUCGUCAACAAGUAUCAAUGGAUUUACGUUCUGUUCAAAAAAUAAAUUUAAAGACAGCUUUAUUGCAGGGAAUGUACCAGAAACUUGGUACCAGAAUAACACGUAUGAAUUUUGCAAGAAAUUUAUGGACAAAUAUCAAAAAGAUUGGGAUACUCUUAUAUCCUUGUUCCUGAUGGGCUAUCAGGCUGCUGUAUAUGAAACCACGUAGCAGACUUCAGAAAGUCUAAUUUGUGGCUUUGGCCACCGACUGAGUGAAUAUUCGAAUUAGUGCCAAUAACAGGAGAGCUAAGGAAGUCAAUAGCACUCUAGAAGACGAGAUGAGGGAUAUGCAUGCUAUGGUGAGACAGAGCACUAAAAUUAUGAGCGAUAAAAUAAAAUCAAAAUACAAAAUGAGUUCUGAGGGUUUUAUUGAAGGAGAUUGGCUAUUGUUAUAUAAUCCACAACGAAAGUAGGGGAUGUAUCCCAAAUUACAGUGUAGUUGGGAAUGACCAUACCAGGUUAUUAAACGACGUACAGCCCUUUGGAAGACCUAGGAAUAAAAAGAAGGUAGCUCAUCUAGAACGUCUUGCAGCGUUUGGUACUGCAAACAUGUCUCAUCAGGACGAUCAGACAUAGUCGGCUAGCAGUAUGACGAACACGGAUGCGAGAACAAAAUAUAAUCGACGAUAAAUUGCCAGAAUCAACCAGACAGCGAUUCACUUAUCAACCUAUAGGUAUUUGUGAUGUCUGUAUACCAUGUGCCAAUACAGCCAAAUAUCUUGGCAUUACGCUUCAUGCAAAAGUGUAAGCACAUGUUCACUUAGACCAAAAAUGUAUCAGUCGAUUUUUUUUUAGUACCACAAUCAAAGAUGUAACUUAUCUUGUCAUACACUUGGAUAUAACCCUCACGUGGGAAAAACAUAUAUUAAGUAAAAUAGGUCUUUCGACCCGGCCAUUAGGAGCCCCAUUGUGAUACCACCGGGACUAAGGUCCCUUCACUCUAGUGGCUCCUCUCUGAACCAUUGAAUGAAUGCCCUUGAUAAUUUUGCUGGUAGCUAUGUAUGUAUACUACAUAUCAAGCAAAAUAGGUAGGUAGGUGGGUAGAGUGGCUGUCUUUCGACACUCCUAGGCCUUUAGGAGGCCCAUUGUGAUAUCAACGGGACUAAGGACCCAUCGCUCUAUUGGCUACUCUGAACCACUGAACGAAUGCGCUUGAUACUUUUGCUGAUAGUGGAUGCGUCAUACACUCUAAGCACUGCGCCUUAAACGUUUAACACAACCUUUUUCGAAUCUCCAUUAGAAGUUCCACUUCAGAAACAAAUUCUGCUGCAUGACAACGUUCGGCCUCACGAAUAUAUUCCUCAUAUGUUGUACCGUCCGACUAUUAUUUGUUUCUUUUGAUGGCACAUGGUCUGGCUCAGAAGCAGUUCCACUCAUAAGACGACAUCGAAAAAUGGCUUGAUUUUUGGAUAACAUCGUAAGAUGAACAGUUUUACCGUAAUGGUAUUCGAGCUUUGAGAAAGAUAGUAACAAUUUUUGACUAGCGUCAAUUGUAACCUACCUACCUGCCUAGUUGCGCACCUAAUAUAAUUUCGCAUAUUUUAUGGCAUUGAACUAUAGUGUAUACAAUAUUAUAGGUUAAAUCAAUUUUGCUAAGAUAUCUUACAUAUUGCCCAAUAUAUACGUAUAAAGCCAAUUGGACCUUUGAAAAGUUUAUAUUAGGUAUAUUGCAGAUAUGGUAGUAUUGACUCGAUUUUAUCCAUUUGCCAUUGAUACAUAUUAUUAACAGAAAAAAGUGCUCUCUGAGUUGCAUUAUGGUACCUCGUAUACUAUCACCAAUAUAUAAGGAGUAAAGUCAACCGGAUGUUAGAAAAUCCUGAUAUUAGUUACAUAAAUGGGGCUAGCAUAACCAGCAUAUUGGCCGAUAAAUGCAGUAUAAAGUCAUCCGGAAGUCAAUCCAAGUUUUGUUCCCAAGAAAGCUUCCAGAUAUCCAGCAUUUUAUUCAUUGUCCUGAUCCAGAGAUGUAGGGACCGUUCCCACGACAGUCGGGUCUACGUAACCCGAACGGGCCCGGAUUUAUCCAGCUAAGGACUGUCAACUCGGCAGAAUUUUACCGCUACAACAACAACAACAGAGAUGUAGGGAUAACACGACUCCUUGGGGUGUACCCCUUCGGACAGAUCUGCACAUCUUUAAAGCUCCCAACGUUGAAAUAAUUGACCUGCCCAAAAGCAUCCGUUCAGUUAAAAUCCGGAAAGGCUCCGGGCCCAAAUCUUCAAGCGGGCUCAGUAUGGCCCUCGGCUGGAUGUUAUUGAAAGCACCUUCUAGUCUAGCUACGAGGGUGAAUUCUUUUAUCUUUACAGAUUUUUCAAUCUCUGUUACCACUGAGCUUAACGCCGUUUUUGUGGAUGUAACCUUAAAAUACGCAUGCUGCGAAACUGCCAUUUUUCCUGGGUUUAGUUUGCACCUUAUAUGUAUUUCUAUUAGCCUCACCAGCGUUUUUAAGAGAAACGAGGAAAAACUAAUAGGUCUAAAAUCCUUUGGAUUAGUGUGUGAGCUUUUGCCCGCAUUUAGUAUAUAUAUCACCUUGAUCCCCUCCCUAUGGAGGGAAUAUACUCAUACCCAAUAAAGUCAGCGUUCACCCGACACAUUAUUAGAAAUGAAGUAAAAACACAUUGUAAAUAAAUA